ensembl:lncRNA
GCCCCCUUUGCAGUUAGCCCCUCCCCUCAUCCCCCAACCUGGGCACCCACUGGCUUGUUUUUCAUUCCUAUAGUUUUGCUAUUCCAGCAUGUCAUAUACAUGGGCUCCUACAUUAGGUACUCUUUUAGUAAAACUCAUGAAAAUAUUUGCAUACAGUAAAAUUUACUCUUUUCUCUGUGCUGCUCUAUAAGCUCUGUGCCACGCAUGCAGUAGUCACCCAGAAUCAAAAUGCAGAUGGUUUCCAUUACCCCCAAAAUCCCCUCCUGCUGGCCCUCGGUGGCCACACCCUUCCCCCACUCCGCCCCCACAACCCACAGCUCUUUCUGUCACUACCCAGUGGCCUUUUUCAGACUGUCUUCUAAAUGGAAUAAUAGAGCCUUCCGAGUCUUGCUUCCUUCACUCAGCUGAAUGCAUCCGCCAUUCAUUCAGGUUGUCGAAUCCGAAGUGUGUUGCAUUUUUCUUGCCGCAUGGGGAGGAACCACAGUUUUGCUUUUCCAUCUCCCAGCUGAAGAAACAUCUGGGCUGUUUUCCAGCUGCUGGUGAUUCAGAAGAGAGCUGCUAGAGACAUGCACAUACAGGUUCAAAAUAAAGGCAUGCAAUCCACACACUUCACCGACAGGACAAGGAAAAUAUCGAGAGUGUCAAGUAUUUGCUGGGGAGAAAAAUGAAGCCGUCAAGGAUUCCCCAGGCAGACGGGCAUCCACCUGCCAAUGCACGGGACACGGGUUGCAUCCCUGCUCUGGGAAGAUCCCACGAGCCGCGGAGCAUCUAAGCCCGUGGGGUGCGCUACUGAGCCUGCGUGCUGCAGCUACUGAAGCCCUCCCGCCUAGAGCCCGAGCUCCACAGCAAGAGAAGCCACCGCGAUGAGAAGCCUGUGUACCACAAUGAACGUAGCUCUGGCUUACUGCAACUGGAGAGAGCCUGUGCACAGCAGCAAAGACCCAGUGCAGCCAUAAAUAAAUAAAGAACCAAAAAAAAAAAAAAAAAAGAAGUUGUCAAGGG